rnacentral:rRNA from 8 species
GUUGACCUCGGAUCAGGUAGGACUACCCGCUGAACUUAAGCAUAUCAAUAAGCGGAGGAAAAGAAACCAACAGGGAUUGCCCCAGUAACGGCGAGUGAAGCGGCAACAGCUCAGAUUUGGAAUCUGGCCCCCAGGGCCCGAGUUGUAAUCUGGAGAGGAUGCUUCUGGCGCGGCGCCUUCCGAGUUCCCUGGAACGGGACGCCGGAGAGGGUGAGAGCCCCGUACGGUUGGACGCCUAGCCUUUGUGAAGCUCCUUCGACGAGUCGAGUAGUUUGGGAAUGCUGCUCAAAAUGGGAGGUAAAUUUCUUCUAAAGCUAAAUACCGGCCAGAGACCGAUAGCGCACAAGUAGAGUGAUCGAAAGAUGAAAAGCACUUUGAAAAGAGG